AAACAUUCGUGAAAGUUGAACGAUACGUCGAAUCGUUUCCUGUGUCGCGACUUCGGCAAAACGAUCGGUCAAAAGUACACGAUCGCCCGUUGAAGACGAUCGGUUCGAAUCGAACGAAGAAAUACGAAGGAAAAACAUCGUGUCCGACGAGAAAACUCGAACGGCGAUUGUCUGUGAAAGAAUAUCUUUCGAGAAUUAUUAUAGCAUGGUCGUAAAAAGCACAUGCAGCAAACACAAACGACAGGAAUCCGUGAAUCAUCUUUAGCAGUACCUACGGCUGAACUUUAUCAAAAGGCAAUUUUACCGCGUUAGUUGGCAAACAGUUCGCGUAAUCACCGAUUUUGUUUCUUCCUACCGCAAACGUACCCUGUUCUGUUGCACAUCGAUGAGCACGUAAACCAACAGUGUGAUCUCUUCCUCGUCGGAGCCGAGAGCAUUACCCUGGAGACCCGCCGUCGCCACAUAAAGGGCAACCAAGUGAGUCGGUCCCCUCGUAG